rnacentral:rRNA from 1 species
CCCUUAGAUGUUCUGGGCCGCACGCGCGCUACACUGACUGGUGCAACAAGUGUCGCUCCUUGGCCGAUAGGCCUGGGCAAUCUUUGAACGCCAGUCGUGAUGGGGAUAGAUCCUUGCAAUUUUUGAUCUUCAACGAGGAAUUCCUAGUAAACGCAAGUCAUCAGCUUGCAUUGAUUACGUCCCUGCCCUUUGUACACACCGCCCGUCGCACCUACCGAUUGAAUGGUCCGGUGAAUCUUUAGGACUGUGGCUGAGGCCUUGCCUUGUGCGGGUCUGGCCGUGGGAAUUUAGUUAAACCUUACCAUUUAGAGGAAGGUGAAGUCGUAACA